UUUCCUCAAGAGGACCAAGUAGAGCUAGUCCUGGCAUCUUGAAACCUGACAUAAUCGGUCCUGGUGUUAAUAUCCUUGCUGCUUGGCCUACCUCCGUGGAUGACAACAAGGACACCAAAUCCACAUUCAAUAUUAUAUCAGGCACCUCAAUGUCUUGCCCUCACCUUAGUGGCGUAGCAGCUCUGCUGAAGAGCACACAUCCUGAUUGGUCUCCUGCAGCUAUUAAGUCUGCAAUCAUGACAACUGCUGACACGUUAAACCUUGCCAAUAGUCCAAUACUAGACGAAAGGCUCCUUCCUGCUGACAUUUUUGCCACUGGUGCAGGACAUGUUAAUCCAUCGAGGGCAAAUGAUCCAGGACUAGUUUAUGAUACCCCAUUUGAGGACUAUCUACCUUAUUUAUGUGGUUUGAACUAUACGAAUCGACAGGUAGGUAACCUGUUACAACGCAGGGUGAAUUGCUCGGAGGUGAAAAUUAUCCUUGAAGCACAAUUAAACUAUCCUUCAUUUUGCAUAACUGAACUUGGAUCAACUCCUCAGACAUAUACAAGAACUGUGACCAACGUUGGUGACGCUACAUCAUCUUACAAAGUGGAGGUAGCUUCACCAAAAGGCGUUGCCGUGGAAGUUAAGCCCACAGAGCUAAAUUUCUCCGAGUUGAACCAGAAGUUAACAUACCAAGUGACAUUUUCCAAGACAACUAGCAGCUCAAACUUUGUGAUUGUUGAUGGAUUCUUGAAAUGGACUUCUAAUAGACACUCAGUGAGAAGUCCAAUUGCAGUUGUGUUAGCCUAGUCAAAAAUUGGCUUUAUGAGUGCAUAAACUACUCAUACAUUUUAUUUUACUGAAAAUACUGUUUGUUUAUCGUUAUUUACUUCAUGUGAGUAAUUUGGGUACAUGUGAAAAAGUUUCGUAAUGGUGAAGAUAUGAAUGACCGCAUAGUAUAACGAUAACACUAUUAAAUGAAAGUUAAGAAAAAAAUAUUUUUGACUCUUUUACCAACUUAGAAGUAGGACAACAAAAACAAGUCCUACGAGUUCCCUAGAAAAGACAUUAGACCACGCUCGGUUUCGUUUACGAAAUUAAUGUCAAUCCAAACCAAAUUAAAAUAAAUUUAGUUUGGUUCUGUUUGAUUAGAUUAUCAAUUUUUGAGUCUAUAUUAAGUGUUAUUGAACAAGUUUACCUCCAAUUCAACUUCUAUCUUCGAAAUGUGAGAGUUUAUUAUUUAGGGUUCAAUUUUCAGUCAUGAGAGUUUCAAUUUAGGGUUUCAGAAUUGGGAAUUACGUAAUUCAUAAGUGUAGGAGCUACAGCGGGUCACUCUCAAAUGCCAAAUUGGGUCAAUUUUUAAUGGGCUAUUGACAUUGGAUAGGCUGGGCUGUCAGUGUAGUGUAGUGCUAAAAUUCGUGUAUUCGGUUAUAUCGAAUUAAUUUUGUUAAAAAUUGAAAAUCGAAUCGAACAACUAAAAUUGCUCCAUCAAAUAAAAAAAUCGAUAUUGAAAUUUAAAAAAAUCCCGAAAUAUGCCCGGGCCUAGUUGUAAUUAACUCACAUGUCUGGAAUAAGUAUUUCUUACACGCCAGUAGUUUCAAAGGUAAAAAAUAUAUAUUAAAUAAAUCAUACACAUACACUGUACUAACAAAUUUAUUUUUUAUUUGAAUUCUAUAUAAUUUAAUAAGAUACAAUAAUAUUGAUGUAUUCGUUGUACUUUAUGUAUAAUAAAUUUAUCUUUUAUGUGAAUUCAAUGUUAAUUAGAAAGAUACAAUGAUUUUAAUAUAAUCAAAAUUAACCUUCAUUGAAUUUCAAUACAUGACUCUUUAAAAUAAAUAAAUAUUAAUUUAUGAGUAAAUAAUAUUUCUACAAAAUAAUAAUAUUUUAACGUAACUAAGCAUAAAAAUAAAAUAAUUACAAACAUAUACCCCUUUACAUUCAUACACUUACUAAAUACUUACAUUGUAUACCCCCAACUAAUUUAAAAAAUAUUACUUAAAUGACUAUGUGAGAAUUUCGAUUCAAUACUUAAAUUAGGACGUUGAUGCUAAACUUGUUAAUAUGACAAAAAAUAAAUAAAUAACAGGGACAUUCCUAUAUAUAAUCAUUCCACACCCUUCCACCCCUAAAUCAUACUCCCCCACCCUAUCCCACUCGUAUAUUAUUUUUCAUGAAAAAUAUUUUCUUACUUUCGAACGCACUCUGUACCAAAAUACCCCUUCACUGUAUAUGUAAUUUUCAAUCACUUCAAUUAUUAAUGGAGGAUAUAUCAUUUCCAUGGGAAGAAAUGUAUGAUUUUUGAGUGUUUCACAUUUAAACUUUGACUGUUUAAAUUACGUUAAGUUCGAGGCAUAUAUGACUUUAAUCCAUAAUUUCCACCUCAACUUACACAAAUUUAACUAAUCUGCUUAAAUAUGAAUAAUGUUCAUAAUUAUGAUACUAAGAAUAUAAAUAAAAAUAUAAGACUCACUGUCAACAAAAAAUUCUCAUUUUUUAAAAAAGAAACAUACUUAACAAUUGUUUUUUAAUCUUAAUUUCAAAUUUUAAACUUUUAAUCUCGACUUUACCUUUACAGCUAGGACAGGCUUGUUAAUCACACUUUUGACGUGGUCAUUACUUUCCUUUAUUUUUUAUGGAAAUAAUGAAAUCAACUAGUCUAUUAUUUGUGUAAAAUAAUUCUACAUACUUUCUCUUUCAAUCGUGACUUUUUUUUUUCCACACUAUAACAUUAAAAUGUCUCAUUGUGAGUUUUAACGUGUAAUAGAGGGCACAUUUUAACAAUAGAGGCGGAAUCAAGUAAGAGCAAGAGAUUCAUUUGAGUAUUUUUUGGUGAAAAAUUAUAUUAUAUAUAUGAGGUUAAUUUUUUUUUACAUUAAUUUUUUUUUUGUGUGUAUUUUUAGUUCAUUACAUAUACAUUUGUGGGUGAAAAUCAUAUGACCUUGUCACUAUUAUUGACAACCCCUUCCCUUCUAUAUAUACUUAAAUUAUGUCGAUUCGAAUAGCGGGUGUGGAGGAAAAUGAAAUUAAGUUAACGUUGAUAGUCUUAUAAGGACAAAGCAAUAUAUGUGAAUCUGAUUUUAAUCGAAUUAGUGGACGAUAAAUACUUAAUAGUGAAGCUUAAAAAAAACUAAAAACAUAUAGUUGUUUGAUUGAGAUAAAGUGGAUCAUGAAAGGUCGUGGACCACUUUGUUGUGACACUUUUUCGUGAAAAAUUAGAUGGAUAGAUUGGUGGUUUAAUUAUAAUACGUGUGGAGAAUUUUCUUGAUUUUUUAUAUUUUGAUUAUUUUUAAUGAAAAUUCAUGUUUUGCUACUGAUUACCAAAGCCAAAAUAUAAUGUAAUAAGAAAUGAAUUUUGGAAUUUUCCCUACCUAAACCCUUACAAUAAUUAAUAAAGUAAGGAUUGUUCAAAUUCGCAUAAAGAAAAUUUUUCAUUCUUAAUUAACCCCUUUCUGCACGCCAAAUGAAAUUGAAUAAAUCAAAAAUUAGAAUGGAUUUGAGUGUAAUAAAUAUAAUGAUAAAAGAACUUAUCUUAGUCCUAACUCGGCCACAAAAUAGCUCAUGAGGAGACACUGCCCAAGAUCGUAAAGGGAGGGCCUUAUGCAAUGUAACAAUAUUGUAUAAUUAUGUAUAUAUGAUGUAUAACUAUGUAUCAAAGAUGUAUAUACAUCCAUAUACUCUGUUUGUACAAUGUUUAUGCAUUGUAUCUGUUCAUCUUCCUCAACAAUGUGUUUUCUUGAAUCUCAACCAACUCAAAUCUUCUCUAAAUAUGACUCAACAAUUUACAGACGCGCAUAAUUUUAUACGUAUCGUGCCCCAAAGAAAGGGGAAAAAGAACAAAAUUUUUUUUAACACAAAUAAUUGAUUGAAUUCAUUGUUUACUUUCCAUUUUUGAUAUACAUAGAUUAUAUUAUUAAUUAUACACUUAUUAUUCAUGAAUUAAAUACAUAUAUUAUCUAUCCAUCCACUAAUUUUAAUUUCAUUCCUUGGAUUUCCACAUAUAAAAACAAUAUUUUUUUCCAGCAGCCCCUGUUGGUCCUUUGUGCCCCCACAAGUAAUCAGGUGGACUGAAAUGUAGUGCCAAUUAUCUCUAAUAAUUUCUGCAAUUUAAAGGAAUAAAUAGAUAAAUAUGGAUUUCGACAUAUAAAAACACAGCACAAAAUUAAUAAAAGUUUAAGUUGUGUUGGGAUAUUAGGUCUUGGGUCAACUUUUGUUAGUUAAAUGAGUUUGAUGAUUAGAAUACGCCAUAAUUAUUAUGAUAGUAAUAAUUUAAAAGUUCAAAUGAAAUAUCGAGUCAAAAUUAAGUGUAAUUUUUCGUGGAUUUACAUUUAUCUAAUUAUCUCAUUCGCCAUUUUCUUAUGUCGAUCACCACUCUCCUCUCUCGCUUGCCUCUCUUCCUGUAUCUCUGGUAUACAUGUACUUAAUACGAUUCUCAUGAUGUUUAUGGGGAUGAUUCACAUAUAUCUAGAUAUCUCGGUCGCCUCUCUUCUUUUUUCGCUCGUGUUUCUCAAUUGAAAAUGACAUAAAUAAGUCAAACUUUAAAAGAAUGUCAUAUACGAGCUUUUUCCACAAGUUUAACAACAAAUUUGAGCUUUUUUCCUUUAAGGGAUAAAACGAAAUUAAAUAUAUUAUAGUGGAUGUCAUUUGGAAAAUAAAACCAUAGAAUAUAAUUUUCUGAUACUGGAGAAGUGAUAAUUUUGUUCAUACACAUGGUCUUUUUUCCACAAUAAUUUUUCUAGAUGUUGAAUAGGUCAAUAAUAAAACACUAUAAAUAGACAGUUGCUUCAAAGCAGAGAAAUUCAUCAAAUAAAUCAUCACUUGUUGUAUUAGCUAGCCAUGGGAUUAUUGAAAAUCCUUCUUGUUUUCAUCUUCUGUUCUUUCCAAUGGCCUACUAUUCAGAGUAAUCUCGAGACUUAUAUCGUCCAUGUUGAAUCCCCUGAAAGCCUAGUUACUACUCAAUCAUCGUUAACGGAUUUAGGUAGCUAUUACCUUUCUUUUUUGCCUAAAACUGCUACCACAAUUAGUUCGAGUGGAAAUGAAGAGGCUGCUACCAUGAUCUAUUCCUAUCACAAUGUGAUGACAGGGUUUGCAGCAAGAUUAACUGCAGAACAAGUGAAGGAAAUGGAGAAAAAACACGGCUUUGUCUCUGCUCAGAAACAGAGGAUUUUGUCUUUGCACACUACUCAUACUCCAAGUUUUCUUGGUUUGCAGCAGAACAUGGGUGUAUGGAAGGAUUCCAACUAUGGGAAAGGCGUGAUCAUCGGAGUUAUAGACACUGGAAUUAUUCCUGACCAUCCUUCUUUUAGCGAUGUUGGGAUGCCUCCCCCGCCUGCUAAGUGGAAAGGAGUUUGUGAGUCCAAUUUCACCAAUAAGUGUAACAACAAGCUCAUUGGAGCCAGGUCUUACCAACUUGGUAAUGGUUCCCCGAUAGAUAGUAUUGGACAUGGUACACACACAGCAAGCACAGCUGCAGGAGCCUUUGUGAAAGGUGCUAAUGUAUAUGGCAAUGCUGAUGGAACUGCAGUUGGUGUUGCUCCUCUAGCCCAUAUAGCCAUAUACAAGGUGUGUAAUUCUGUUGGUUGUUCUGAAAGUGAUGUUUUAGCUGCCAUGGAUUCAGCUAUAGAUGAUGGAGUAGAUAUUCUUUCAAUGUCCCUUAGUGGAGGUCCAAUCCCUUUCCAUAGAGACAAUAUUGCUAUCGGGGCGUACAGUGCAACGGAAAGAGGAAUUCUUGUAAGUUGUUCUGCUGGAAAUAGUGGUCCAUCCUUUAUCACAGCAGUAAACACCGCCCCUUGGAUUCUUACGGUAGGUGCCAGCACGCUUGACAGAAAGAUAAAAGCUACUGUUAAGCUUGGAAAUGGAGAGGAAUUUGAAGGAGAAUCUGCUUAUCGUCCAAAGAUUUCCAACGCAACAUUCUUCACUCUAUUUGAUGCUGCAAAAAAUGCAAAAGAUCCAUCCGAAACCCCUUAUUGCAGACGAGGUUCACUCACUGACCCUGCUAUAAGAGGAAAGAUAGUAUUAUGUUCAGCACUCGGCCAUGUAGCCAAUGUUGAUAAAGGACAAGCUGUGAAGGAUGCUGGAGGUGUUGGCAUGAUUAUCAUCAACCCAUCACAAUAUGGUGUCACUAAAUCAGCUGAUGCUCAUGUUCUUCCAGCAUUGGUUGUUUCAGCUGCAGACGGAACAAAAAUUCUUGCUUACAUGAACUCAACAUCAAGCCCUGUUGCUACAAUUGCAUUCCAAGGAACAAUAAUUGGAGACAAAAAUGCUCCUAUGGUUGCUGCAUUUUCCUCAAGAGGACCAAGUAGAGCUAGUCCUGGAAUCUUGAAGCCUGACAUAAUCGGUCCUGGUGCUAAUAUCCUUGCUGCUUGGCCUACCUCCGUGGAUGACAACAAGAACACCAAAUCCACAUUCAAUAUCAUAUCAGGCACCUCAAUGUCUUGCCCUCACCUUAGUGGCGUAGCAGCUCUGCUGAAAUGCACACAUCCUGAUUGGUCUCCUGCUGUUAUUAAGUCUGCAAUGAUGACAACGGCUGACACGUUAAACCUUGCCAAUAGUCCAAUACUCGAUGAAAGGCUCCUUCCUGCUGACAUCUAUGCAAUUGGUGCAGGACAUGUUAAUCCAUCAAGGGCAAAUGAUCCAGGACUAGUUUAUGAUACACCAUUCGAGGACUAUGUACCUUAUUUAUGUGGUUUGAAGUACACAGAUCAACAGGUAGGUAACCUGAUACAACGCAGGGUGAAUUGCUCGGAGGUGAAAAGUAUCCUUGAAGCACAAUUAAACUAUCCUUCGUUUUCCAUAUUUGGACUUGGAUCAACUCCUCAGACAUAUACCAGAACUGUAACCAAUGUUGGUGAUGCUACAUCAUCUUACAAAGUGGAGGUAGCUUCACCAGAAGGCGUUGCCAUCGAAGUUGAACCCUCCGAGCUAAAUUUCUCCGAGUUGAACCAGAAGUUGACAUACCAAGUGACAUUUUCCAAGACAACUAAUAGCUCAAACCCUGAGGUUAUUGAGGGAUUCUUGAAGUGGACUUCUAAUAGGCACUCAGUGAGAAGUCCAAUUGCAGUUGUGUCUGCCUAGUCAAAAAUUGGCUAUAUAAGUGCAUUAAGUACUCGGACAUUUGAAAAUGCUGUUUGUUUAUAUGUUACUUUUUAAUAUUAUAUUAUUAAAUGUAUUGUUUCAAUAAACUUUAUGUUCACAGUUGAUUGAAGAAUGCAAAAGCAUAUCCUCUUUGAUGUUAGUGUCCAUGCACUUUUCUUCUUGAUUUCAUUGAUAAUAAAUAUUACUUGAGUGAUCAUGUAAGAUUUUCACUCCAUACUUAAAUUUGGGAAAUUUGCUGUCACCCUUUGAUCCAGAAUCUUGACAGUGACUUCAAAAAUAAAGUCUUAGUCUUCGGUGACUUCAAAAAGUAAUUGGGACGUUGAUGCUUUAACUAUAUUAGUAAGACAAGAAAAGUAAUAGAGACAUAUCCUAUGAACUUAAAUUUUUUAACAUAUUGUGGCCAAAUGAGAAAUCUAUAGCCAACUAUACAUGUCAAGUCCAAAUUCUACCAUUGAAGGGGACCAAUGUACAUAAUUUAUCUUCCAAAGAAAUUAAAUUAACCAAUACAUAUUUGGUUUUGUAAUAAUUUUCACAAAAAAACAAGAAUUACAGAAUGCAUUGUUGCUAUUUGUGUGUGGCCCAUCAUGUAUUGGUAGCAUUUUUUUACUAGUUAAUAGAGUAACGAUUGUCCAAAUUCGUAUAAAGAUAUCAUCAUUCUUAAUUAGCUCCUUUCUGCAUGCCCAGUGAAAUGGAAUGAAUCAAGAAUUAGGACGACGCAUAUAACUCUAAUAUAAUAAGAAAUGAAUUUGCCCUACCUAAACCCUUACAACUAGUAAAUAGAGUAAGGAUUGUUCAAAUCCGUAUAAAGAGAUAUUCGCAUUCUUAAUUAUCCGUAUAUGAUGUAUAACUAUGUAUCAGACAUGUAUAAAUAUUCAUAUAUCUCUGUUUGUACAUGCAUUGUAUCUGUUCAUCUUCCUUAACAAUGUGUUUUCUUGAAUCUCAACCAACUCAAAUCUUCUCUAAACACUCCGAAUGGUUUUGUUGUUGCCUAGCUCUUAUUGAAUUGUAUAUCUUUUGCAUAUAAGAAAAAUAUUUGAUUAUGAUAUAGGGACUCAACACUUCACGAUAGCGAAUAAUUUUAUAUGUAUCCUGCCCUAAAAGAAAGAAAAAACAAAAAAACUUUACUCGCCUCUCCUAUUUUACUCGCCUCUCUCCUCUCUCGCUCAUCCCUCUCCCAGUAUCCGGUAUAUAUAAGUUUUUGGUGUGAUUCUCAUAAUGUAUAUGGGGAUGAUUCACAUAUACCACAAUUGAAGGAGAUCAAUCUACAUCAUCCAUAAUUCACGUUUUGUCUUGCAAGUAAAUUAAAGUAACCAACUUUAGUUUUGUUAUUAAUCACACUUAGUGGCAUUUCUUUUGCUAUCUCUUUUAAUAUUCUUGUCCACAUUAUUCUUUUUUUCCCUCUAGCUAAAAUAGAGUGAUGAACAAUUAGGCAUUAUAAAUAGAGAAUUUGCUUUUAGUAGAUCAAAUUGUGAUUUAUUUUUUGAUUUUUGGUUGCUUUCAUUGAAUCUUUUAAUGUAUUUAGUUGAUUUUAAUUCUUAAAUUAAUGUAUACUUGAUUUGUUUCACCUUUAGGAUUCAUUACAAUUUUAUCGUGUAUAAUAUAUUCUUUUCAAAUAUUAACUUUUAUACAUAAUCCUAAUUUAUUGUACACAAAUUAGUAUAUAUUGUGUUACUAGUUAUGUAUUGGAUAUACAAAUAUUACAAAUUUCAUUUUCUUUUACUACCAAUACAUACACCCAACUUUAUUCAACUAGUAGAAGACUAUUAUUUCUAGGGAAAAGGGUCCGAUAUACUCCUCAACUUUAUCAUUUAGAGCUGAUAUACCCCUUGUUAUGAAAUUGACUCAUAUAUACCCCUACUUGUAAACAAAUGGCUCAAAUAUAUCCUUUUCCAUUAACGGAAAUGAAAAAAAUAAUAAUUUAAAUUUAAAUUUUUAUUAUUUUUUUCUAAAAAAAUAUAAUCCCAUAUAAGUAAAUUUAAUGCUCGUCAAAUAUAUUUUUUUGACUUUUUUUUGUUUCAAUGACUAAUUUAUAAUUAUUAUUUUGAUAAUCAAAUUUAUUUAUGUUUCAUUAAUAUUCUUGUAAAACUUAUUGUAGAUGACCAAAUUUUUUCUUCGAAUACGAAAUUAAAUUACAAAACACACAAAAAAAAUAGUUUAAUUUUUUAUUCUUUAAACUAAGGAAUGAAAGAAAAAGCAAAAUAAGAAUAAGAAAUUCAAAUAAUUAUAAUAAAAGAAGUCAAAAAAUAAUUUAUGUAUGAAAAAAAUUAAAAUAUACUUUGAACUUUGAUAGAAGAAUCAUAUAUACCCCUAAAUUUUUUUUAAAAAAAAAUUAGAAGUAAUAAAUAUAAAUUUAAAACUAAUUUUUUUAAAUUCGUUAAAUGAAGGGUAUAUGUGAGCCAUUUCGUAAUGGCAGGGGUAUAUGUGAGCCAUUUGUAUAACGGUAUGGGCAUAUAUGAGCCACUUUUAUAACGAGGGGUAUAUCAGCUCCAAAUGACAAAGUUGAGAGGUAUAUCAGACCUUUUUCCCUUAUUUCUAAAAUGAAAGUCUAGAGUUCGCUUGAAUUGACUUAAAAGUUGAUCAAAUCUACUUUUAAAGUCCUGUUUUAUUUUUUAUUUUUGAGAGUUUUGACAAAGCAGAAAAUAACUUAUAAUAAGUUAGAGAUGACUUUAAAAAAAAGUUAAAAAUUACAAGUAGCUACUUCCUUACUUUUCAUUUUUUAACUUAAAAGUUACUAAAGUUUAACUUUUAAAAAAAUAAGGAAAAAAGUCUAAAAUAUAUAUCAACUUUGACCGAAAUUAUAUUAACGAUAUCAAACUUUGGAAAUGACCUUUUACCCCUGUACUAUUUAAUAGUGUAUUUUAAAGGUAUAUAUGUAUCCACGUGAACAUCACAAAUAUUCCAUCAUUAAAAAUAGAAAGUCAUCAUAAAAUUUGAUAUGUAACAAUAAUUUCGACCAAAAUUGAGAUAUUUUUCAGACCCUUCUUCCAAAAAAUACUUUUUAUGACAAGAAAGUAACUGGGAUGUUGAGUCGUUGACGCUAAACUUAUUAUUAAUAUGACAAGAAAAAAUAGUCCUAUGAGUUUCCUGGAAAAUACAUUGUAAUUAAUUCACAUGGGCACUUUUUAUUUUUUUUUAACAUAUUGUGGCCAACUGAGAAAUUAUAGUUAGGAUUUUAAAUUGGAUUUUUAUUUCAUAUAUCCAUUUAAAAAUAAUUCAAUAUACUCCAUAACUAUAAUUUGAUAAUUACGAUUUGUAGCUAUAUAUAAGAGGGAGGAGAGAGGCGAGCGAGUGAGAUUGGGAGAGGGAGGAGAGAGACGAAUUGUAUAGGUCUAUCUAUCGAACUGUAUAAGUCUAUCUAUUAAAUAAUUAUAUAUUUAUAGCUGGUAUACGCAUGUACUUGUAUAUCUGGUGAGCGAGAUUGGGAGAGAGGCAAGUGAUAGAGGGUAGAGAGUGGAGAGAGACGAACUGUAUCUGUAUAGCUGUCAGAGGCAGAGAAUGGAGAGAGACUAACUGUAUUUGUAUAAUUGUAAUUAUUGUAUAUAUAUAUAUAUACUAGUUUCCGAAACGUGCGUUGCACGUUUGCCUCAUACAAUUAUUAUAAAGUUGAAUUAUUAUAUAAUGUUGAAAUUAGAAAUAUUAGUUUUACCAAUUUAUAUUUUAUUUAUUAAAUAAAAUUCAUAAUAAUCGAAUAGUACAUUGACCAUCAAACAAGAAAUUUUUUUAAAAUAAAUAUAUUAUUAUAGCAUCUAAUAAUAUGAAUAUAUCUAUAUAACUUAUUCUUAAUAAUCUCUCAUUACUCUCCAUAUUAGUAAGUACACAAAUGUGUAGCUACUUAAAGAAACUAUAUUAGUAAGGAAAGACAAAAGUAAAUAAAUAUUAUAAAAGUAUAUUUAAAAAUUAAUCUAAAUGUCAUAAAUUAGUAAUUUCAGCACUAAUAAAAAUAGCUUAUAACAUUCAUAAUUUCAUAGAAGAUUAUAUUAAAGAAGUAUAAUCGGUAAAGAAUACAAAAAAAAUUAAACAAAUAAGAAUAAAUACAACAUUUAUAUCCUUCUUAAGACUUUUAAUAUAACAAUAUAUAUAGUAAAAGAAAUACACAAGGAGUAAAAAUUUUUUCUCCCGUAACAAAAAAAAACAAUCUAAAAUAGUAAAGAUAAAAUUUAUGAUUCAAAAUAUCAUUCUAAUGAGGAUCAAUAAAUAUUAAUAUUUCAAAACAAAAAAAAGUACCUGUAAAUUGCAUAAUAAUUCACAUCAACACGAGGCAAAUGGUAAAGAACAAUUAUUUUUAAAUGAUACAUAUAUAUAGCUAAAGAUUCAUUGGAUAAGACGAAAAGGUGAAGAGUUGUUUAAGUUAAUUUUAGAAGUUGAAUGAUCUUACACAUGCGGUAGAGGAAAGAUGAUUGUUUUUACUAAUAAUUCAAUACAUUUAAUUAUACUAAUUACAGAGAGAGGAUAACAAAUUUAAUCAUUUAACCACAUUAAUUAUAGAGAAAGAAUUAAUAACUUUUAUUUUUUUUUAAAAAAAAGUAAUUCCUAACAAUUUUCUAUGAAAUAAUUUCUAACAAUUUUCUAUAAAAUAUUUUUGUGUUUCAAAGUUUGACUUUACACCUUCUUAGUUUUAGUAUAAUAUAAUUAUUACUUAGUAUGUAAAUAAUUAGAAUUUAAACUAUUGUGUCUAGAUGCAUGUAUUUAAAUAUGAUUAUAUAAUAUUAAAUUAAUUAUAUAUUAAUAUUUAAUUUAAUUUAGGGAUAAAAUAAGGACAAAAUGGUAAUUCAACUUUUAAGUUAAGAGCUUCCCACUUAUAAUAAUAAGAGUAUAUGUUAUAUCAUAAAAAAAAUCAUCUAGCAGACUAAGUACAAAUAUGUCAUAAAUAUUUUCUUGGGAUAGCUUAAUAUAUAGAGGUUGUGAAUAUAAUCGAAGACAUCUAUAAUCUUUUUCAACACAUCGCAUUAGUACCAAUUUAUACUCUAUCAAUAGUUAUUUCUCCAAACUCAAAAGAGAAUUAAAAAAAAUUAUAAAAAUAUUGAACCAAUGAUUUCUAUAAUCUGGCCAUGAACAAAAUUACACUAAUAACUUAUCUUUUAAGUCUAGCAGGGCACUCUUAUAAUCAAAGGUUCUGAUACCAUCAUUCUGCUAUCGAAAAAGAAAAGCAUAUCAAAGAAAACAUAAGAAUUUUCAGAAUGUUCAUUGAUGUAUUUUUUUUUGUACCCACAAAAUAAGAAUAUGCAAAAAUGAAACAAAAAGAAAAGAAAUAAUACAUACUUACUGGAGUAUCUCCGAUGAACAUAUGAAAUUAGGAGGAUGGUAGAUUAGAUUUUUGAAUGAUUAACAUAGAAUACACACAAUAUAUUAUAGUAAAUGAGACUCUUUGUUUCCCUUGUCUGUUAUGCUUUUUCAGUUGCAUCAUUUAAAUAUGUCUUCAUUAUUAUAUGAUAGAAUUACUGAAGGCUGAAACUAAUAAUUAUACAUGGUAAUUAAGAUACUAUAAAUUAAAAGUUUUACAUUUAAUAUUUAAAAAUAACUCCAAGAAAUUGAACAAAUUACAAAAAAAAAUCUCAUUAAAAUAUUUUUCUCACCUAUUAAAGCAUCAAAUUAGAAUUAAGGAAACAUAAAUCAACACAUGUAAACAAAUUAACAAUUAAUUAAUUUAUAAAUAGUCUAAGAGAUAAACUUCAAAAAAUUUAAACUAUUUAAAAAAAAAUAAUAACAGGAAAACGUGUCUUUAAGAUAAUUAAACUUUAUUAUAUACUAAUAUUUUACUAAUAACCAAUUAGAUGAUUUUUACUAUUUCAAUGCAAGGACAAGGGUAAGACUUUUCAAAUUUAAAAAUUAAGAGUAAUUAAGUUAAGACUAUAAAAUAAUUAGCAAUUUAUUUACUAAUAUUUAGUUACUUUGAUUAUGAUUUAGUAUAGGGGCAAAAUAGUAAUUCAACUUUUUCUUAACAUUCUUCCCACUUAUUCACAUUACAUGUUUAUUUUUGCAUGUCUGCUUAACGUCUGAAGCAGGAUCAGUAAGCAAAUCAUAACUCUUGUAAAUUUUAUUGCCUUUAUUCUUCACUUCUUUAGUAAGUGAAACAUGUACAAUCUUACGCAAAUUCGUGUAAUUUACUUUCAAGUUGCAGAGUAGGAAAUUACCUUGGAUCUAAAAGAAAUUCCGUUGGAAUAUAAUUGAUUCCUACUCUCAAAUCUGUUGCAGCACCAAGUUCAAUUAUUUUGAACGCGCAACAACCUGCUUCAGAGAGACAUUAAUUACAACUUACAAGUACGCAAUCAAACUCAACCAUUGUGAAUCAGGUCAGCACUUUGUUUUUCAAAUAAUAUGUAUAUCCAUACGCCUAUGCAGUUUAUGACAGAGCACUUUCAGUUGCUGAUCUAAAACCUUGGUAGGAUCAAUCUGAACCUCAAGGUUUACUCAUUUUUUCCCCUUGAUUUGUUGACUUUCAACGUUUAAUUCUUUGUUCGAUGUUAAUUUUUACACAUAUUAGUACACACACAUACUGUUGAAUAGUACAGUAGAAUGUAGGAUUUUCAACAUAGUUUAACUGUCCUUCAAUGUCUUUAACUCCUGCUGUUGUUCUUUGUUAAUGAUCAUAAAAAUUCCGAAAUCACAUUAAGCCAUAUUAUAAUGAAGAGACAGAAUGUGUUUUGGAGAACUAAAACACGAAAAUGAUUGAAAAGAGCAACAGAAUAGAGAAUUGACUCAAACUCUUCUUCUACUGCUUCUUUGUUCCUUAAAACAAACAAAAAAAACAGAACUGUCAACAACUCCAUUGCACAAUUGCUUUGUGAAAACUCGAAUACUUGGCCUCCAUCUCAUUCAUAAAAAGUUUAUAUUUGCAAUUAGCAGCAAAACAGAGCAAAACCAAAGCAUUAACAUCAAAAAUUGACUGUAACUAUUAGGCAACAAAAACAAAGCACCAAAAAUAUUUACCUAUAUACUGACACGCCUUCUCUCGCCACUUCGAAGACCUUUCAUGCAGCGAUGUCCACCAAACUCCUUUUCUGACAAAGAAAACCAGGAAGCUGAAGCAAUGCUGAGUAGUAGAGGUAUUCACGGACUGUCAAUGUUCCAAUAAGAGUAGUUUCUCUGUCAACAAAUCCCAGCAGCCAAAAAGUUCCAUAUCAAAAGGCAGAGCUCAUGAUAAAGAAUAGCUAAGUUCCUCAUCCAAAAAUAUUUACCUGUAUAUCAUCCAGACACAAAAAAGAGAAACAAUUUAAUGGACAAUAACAUGUGAUUUGAGACAUUUAUACAAAUGAUGAGAGUAGCUAAAAAGGUUUUGGAAGAAGAUGAUGAAACUUCAUAAUCGUCAGAAGAGAAGUGGAGCAGAUGACCGUUUCUGAAUAAUUAAAUUAGGGCUGUUAGGAAAUUAAAUUUAUAAUAAUCAAUAUUAAUAGGUUUAACUAAUAUAGGGUUAAUAGGUUUAACUAAUAUUUUUAAUAAAUUAAUAUACAAAUGAUAUUGUAGGGUUAAAAUGGUAAAUCAACUUUGGAGUUAAGAGGUUCAUGCUUACAAUAAUACUAGUUUUCGAAAACGUGCGUUGCACGUUUAUCCUAAAAUACUUCGUACAAUGUUUGUAGUGCAAAUAAUAAAUUUAAACAAUAUAUAUAUAUAUAUAUAUAUAUAUCAAGAAUUAACUAUUAUGCAUGAAAAAAUACUCCUUUCAAUCACAUUUGUUACCGACCCAAAGGUAUAUAUGUACAUUUCACAAAUUUCGUCAAUAAUUCAUUUCCUCGUAAAUUUAAAAAAUAAUGAAGUUACAGUGGUUCAUCAACUUAUAAGACACCAUUGGUUCUCUUCAUCUUCAUUUUUAUUCUCUUCAUGUUCAUUUUUUUCUUUCUUUAAUUUUUUUGUUAGUGAGUUGGAUUCACUUGUACAGAAUCACAUCAACUUUUUAUCUUGUAGGAUAUUUUAUUGAUUGUCAUGGAUGUAGUGAUAAAGCUAGAAGUCUUUCUUCUUGUCCUUGUGUAAAAGAUUUUUUUUUUGGAUAAUCCAAUUAAGUGUACCGUCUCAACUUCUAUAAAAUAAUUUUUAUUUAAAAAUCAAACCAAAAUUUUAUUAAGAACAUAUCAACUUACACAAAAAUAAUUAAUUGCAUAUAAGGAACAAUGAUUUAUUACCUGAAAAUUGAUACCACUUGAAAUAGUUCAAUCUGUGUUGCUUCACUUACUGCAUCAUCACUAUGAAAUAUUAGCGUCAUUUCUUAAUUGUAUCUUCAUAAAAAAAAAGUCAAUUUAAAAAAUUUAUUAGUAGUUGAAAUAUUCAACAAUUUAGAUGAGUUCAAAUAAAGAUAAAUAAAACAUUGAGCAUAACAAACUCAUAUAAAAAAAAUAAAUAAAGAUAACAUGAUUACAUGAGAAAGUAUAAUAUAUAAUAUAGGAAAUGGAGAAUCUGCUAAUAGAAGAUAAAAACGUUACAAAUUAAGUGAUCCAAGAAGUGACAUUUUGAUAUCUUUAGACUAACUGGCUAACACCUUAAUAUGAGUUUUCUUUUUUUUAAAUAAUAACAAUGGUUUAAAGAGCAUAAUAAAAGUAGGUAACUUAAAAGGAUAAAUCAUUAUUGCUUUAUUUUUUAAAUUAUUAAUUCCAAUGCAUGUAUACUUUUUUAUCUAGUAAAAUUUUAUCUAGAAAUUAAUUAUGAAUGCUUUCGCUCUUCCACCUUCCGAGGAUAUUAAAUAGUUUUUAGUGCAUUCAGCUUAUCAAUAAUGAAGAACGAUAAAUUUGCACUUCAAAGCUGAAUUUGGUUUUUAUUAUGUUAUUAAUUUCAGUAAGUAUAAUUUAAUAAUAUCAUAUGAACUAAUAUUUAAAAAUAAUUAACUAUUAUAGGAAUACAAUGGUGAUUCAACUUUGCAUUUUGGAGCUUCACACUUAUACCCAUGAGUGUAUUAUUUCUUAAAAGAUAAUAAAAUAUAUCUAAUUGAGAUUUCUUACUUUGUUUUACUACUAAUUGUGAUACUCCAAUUUUCUGACCUUGCGUCUCAUGUUAGUCUAUGUUGACUCAUUUGAAUAUAUAUAUAUAUAUAUAUAUAUAUAUAUAUAUAUAUAUAUAUAUAUAUAUAUAUAUAUAUAUAUAUAUAUAUAAACCUAAAAAAAUUUAACAAGUUAAGUUAGGCUUGCACAAUGUUUAGAGUGUUUAUUGUUUGUAUUUUAAAGAACAAAUAUGUGCUAUAGAUGUAACAAAUAUUAUGAUAUAUUUAUAUUUAAUAUAAUAUUUAUUACGAUUAUAAUUAUAUUUAAUUUUAUCUUUCAUAAAAUUAUAAUAUUAGUAUGCAAUAAAAUAAUUAUUGCUUUUGAAGGCCCUCAAUAUGAUGAUGGGUUGCUAGAAAUUUGAUAUUGAAGAAUGAUAUAUAUAUACAUGUGCAUAUAAGAAUAACCUCUUCUUUAUCUAUAGUAAAUUUAUAAGUGGUUAGAUAUUUAAAAUUUGAUUUUUCGUACUCAGAUAUAAGAUAAUUUCUCAUUAUUUUAAACUGUAACCCCCUUCUUCACUUUACAAAAUUAAAAAUCGUUUAUGAGUGACACCCCUUCAAUAUUUAUGAUGUCAUAAUGAUCCAACACUUGAAAGCGGUAAAAGUUAUUUAAAACUCUCAUCUGAGGUUGCAGAUUUGUUAAUUUGGAGAAUCAUAGUUAAAGUAUGAAUUUUUAGAAAUUGUUAGAUUAGUUUAAUUUUUAAUUAUAUUUCUAUUUUAUAAAGUUUUUAUUGAACUACUAAUAGAUAUUAAAAUUGAAACAUGAUUAUCAUGUUAUGUUUUGUAAGAACUAUAUUUAAUCAAAUUAAAUAAUUAAAAAAUUCUUUAUAAUGAGAUUUAAGAAUAAUAGAAAAUUUCAAAUUGCGCUUUAAAAAAAUAGUUCUUAAUCAUGAGCACGAGCUUAUUAUUUAAAUCACAAAAGACGAUUUUCUCAUUGCCUAAUUAAUAAUUGAUUCCUCAAAUAGAAACUAAAACACAUUAUACAAUCUACAAGUAAUAAUUUUCUUUAAAAUGAAAAUUGUCAGACCAAAAAUAAUAUAACAUGCAACCAAAGCUAAACAAAAUUAAUUAGCAUUGCAUCAAACGGUUGGUUAGAUGUGAUUUAUACUCCUAGCGAUAUAUUAUGUUAACAGUUGAGUAUAUAUAUUAGAUCAAAACAUCUUCAAUUACAAACUUCGAUUGCAAUUUCUUAAUAAUUUUCUUUUGAUCUCAUGACAUGUUAAAAACAACAGAAGAAAAUGAUAUUUAAUAUGAUAACAAUGAAUUUUUUUAAAUAAGAGUAAUUAUACAAAAAAAAAAUUCAUCUAAAGCAUGAAUAUAAUACGGAAAUUAAAAUUGAUUUCAACCUUCGGGAAGACUUGAACAUCCCUUCUGUCGUUGUAAACUCCAUUAGAAGAUCUAACAAUUUGUACACAUUUCUUUUCUAUAAACAACAAAUGAAGAUAAGGAAAAUUAGUAAUCAGUGUUAUGAACAGAAGCUAAAAGUGACUUAAAUAUAUACUAAAGGAUAAAAACAAUAGAAAUAUAGAAACUUUUUAAUUUCUUCCAAACUGUACCUAAAUAUCUUCAAAGUGUAUAGAUUGUUGUGUCAAAUACCGCAAUUUAUAGGACAUCAUUGAGUAAAAUCAAAAGUCUCAUAAUUAUGCCAUCAACUUCUUGAGAGUGUGGAAAGAUUAUGAAGGUGUGAAUAUUAAUGAUGAGAUAGUGAAGGUGUGAUAUUAAUACACAUUAUGACAAAAUUACACCUAAAACUGAUCAGAUAGAGAAAUGAAAAGUUUCUCUAAUACGUUUUCGUAAUAACUUUAUAAUUAAUUAUUUUUACAACUAUUCAUUCUCCUACUUUAUUUUAACAAUAAGUGAAUCAACUUAAUUAACAAUUUAAGCAUAUUUAAAAUUUAAUUAAUUAAUUAUUUUAUAAUAUUUUAAGUUAGUAUAGGGCUAAAAUGGUAAUUCAAGUGAAUCAACUUAAUUAACAAUUUAAGCAUAUUUAAUAUUUAAUUAAUUAAUUAUUUUAUAAUAUUUUAAUUUAAUAUAAGAUUAAAAUGGUAAUUCAACUUUUAAGUUUUGAGCUUCAUGCUUAUAAUAAUAAUAAUAAUAAUAAUAUAUAUAUGUAAUUUAUAUUUGUGUAUGUAUAAGUGACAUAAUUACAACUAAAAUUUAGCUGCAAGUCAUAAUUUAUUAGAACUAUAUUAACUAAUUAACUAGUAUACCUUACUUAUCCGUUCCUUUUUUUUAAAAAUAAUUUGUACAUAUUUUUUUUAUUAGUUUGUUAAAGCAAAUAUACUAUUUGAACAACUAUACAUGUCAAAUGUCCACGCAAGUCCAAUCUCCAUGUAACACGUUUCGUCUUGCAAAGAAAUUAAAUUAACCUAAACUUUAGAUUUGUUUUUAUUUUUUUUUAACUCGAUCAACUCAAAUCUUCUUUGAACCUUCCAAUUUUAUAUAUGAACUCAUCUCAUAUUUCAAGUCUAUUGAUAUAUUAUACGUUCAAGAUAUUUACGUUUGUGACACAUCAAAUUUUAAAAAUUUGAGUUUCAAAGCUCUUUAUAAGUUAAAGUGCUUGGAUGGAUGACUACUAAAAUUGAUUCUUGGAAGAAGGAUCUUGAAUAGAUGCGUGUCUUUGAGAACAUGCAUUGCAAUUUCAUUUAGACAAAAUAUUUGCAACUUUUUAUUACCAAGUGAUUUUACAGUAAAAAAUUUGUAUAUGGAAAGAUGUUCUUUGUAUCCAAAUAUAAUUAAGCAAAUUUACAGAGGAUGGUCUUCUGGAAAAUCUACAAAUUUCAUAAAGUUCAGUUUAACUAGUUUAUUCACGCCUGGUGAUUUAUAAAAAUAAACAAGUAAUUAGAGACAACUAAAAACAACAAAAAAAUUGUAGACAAAUAGUUAGAGACAGUUAGAUUUAUUAAUUUUAACUAUGUUGUCCACAUUAUUCUUUUUCUCCACUAGCUAAAUAAAGUCAUGAGCAAAGAUGAAGUAUAAAUAGACAGUUGCAUCAAAGCAGAAAAAUUCAUCAAAUACAUUAUCACUUCAGCCAUGGGAUUCCUCAAAAUCUUUUUUGUUUUCAUUUUUUGUUCUUUCCCAUGGCCUACUAUUCAGAGUGAUUUCGAAACUUAUAUAGUCCAUGUUGAAUCCCCUGAAAGCCUAAUUACUACUCAAUCGUCGUUCAUGGAUUUAGAGAGCUAUUACCUUUCCUUUUUGCCUGAAACUAUGUCCGCAAUUAGUUCGAGUGGAAAUGAAGAGGCAGCCAGCAUUAUCUAUUCCUAUCACAAUGUGAUGACGGGGUUUGCAGCAAGAUUAACUGCAGAACAAGUGAAGGAAAUGGAGAAAAAACACGGCUUUGUCUCUGCUCAGAAACAGAGGAUUUUGUCCUUGCACACUACUCAUACUCCAAGUUUUCUUGGUUUGCAGCAGAACAAGGGUGUAUGGAAGGAUUCCAACUAUGGGAAAGGCGUGAUCAUCGGAGUUCUAGACACUGGAAUUAUUCCUGACCAUCCUUCUUUUAGCGACGUUGGGAUGCCUUCCCCGCCAGCUAAGUGGAAAGGAGUUUGUGAGUCCAAUUUCACCAACAAGUGUAACAACAAGCUCAUUGGAGCCAGGUCUUACGAACUUGGCAAUGCUUCCCCGAUAGAUAAUGAUGGACAUGGUACACACACAGCAAGCACAGCUGCGGGGGCUUUUGUGAAAGGUGCUAAUGUAUAUGGCAAUGCUAAUGGAACUGCAGUUGGUGUUGCUCCUCUUGCCCAUAUAGCCAUAUAUAAGGUAUGUGGUUCCGAUGGAAAGUGUCCUGGCAGUGAUAUUUUAGCUGCCAUGGAUGCAGCUAUAGAUGAUGGAGUAGAUAUUCUUUCAAUCUCCCUUGGUGGAUCUCUGAGCCCUCUUUAUGAUGAAACUAUUGCUCUCGGGGCGUACAGUAUAACACAAAGAGGCAUUCUUGUUAGUUGUUCUGCCGGAAAUAGUGGUCCAUCACCUGCCUCAGUAGAUAACUCAGCCCCUUGGAUUCUUACAGUAGGUGCCAGCACGCUUGAUAGAAAGAUAAAAGCUACUGUUAAGCUUGGAAAUGGAGAGGAAUUUGAAGGAGAAUCUGCUUAUCAUCCAAAGACUUCAAACGCAACAUUCUUCACUCUAUUUGAUGCUGCAAAAAAUGCAAAAGAUCCAUCCGAAACACCUUAUUGCAGACGAGGGUCACUCACUGACCCUGCUAUAAGAGGAAAGAUAGUAUUAUGCUUAGCAUUCGGCGGUGUUGCCAAUGUUGAUAAAGGACAAGCUGUGAAGGAUGCUGGAGGUGUUGGCAUGAUUGUCAUCAACCCAUCACAAUAUGGUGUCACUAAAUCAGCUGAUGCUCAUGUUCUUCCAGCAUUGGUUGUUUCAGCUGCAGAUGGAACAAAAAUUCGCGCCUAUACAAACUCAAUAUUAAACCCUGUUGCUACAAUCACAUUCCAAGGAACAAUAAUUGGAGAUAAAAAUGCUCCAAUAGUUGCUGCAUUUUCUUCUCGGGGACCAAAUACAGCUAGUCGUGGAAUCUUGAAACCUGACAUAAUCGGUCCUGGUGUUAAUAUCCUUGCUGCUUGGCCUACCUCCGUGGAUGGCAACAAAAACACCAAAUCCACAUUCAAUAUUAUAUCAGGCACCUCAAUGUCUUGCCCUCACCUUAGUGGCGUAGCAGCUCUGCUGAAGAGCUCACAUCCUGAUUGGUCUCCUGCUGUUAUUAAGUCUGCAAUCAUGACAACCGCUGACACAUUAAACCUUGCCAGUAGUCCAAUACUCGACGAAAGGCUCAGUCCUGCUGAUAUCUAUGCAAUUGGUGCAGGACAUGUUAAUCCAUCAAGGGCAAAUGACCCAGGACUAGUUUAUGAUACCCCAUUUGAGGACUAUCUACCUUAUUUGUGUGGUUUGAACUACACAAAUUCACAGGUAGGUAAAUUGUUGAAACGCAAAGUAAAUUGCUCGGAGGUUGAAAGUAUCCCUGAAGCACAAUUAAACUAUCCUUCAUUUUGCAUAUCGAGACUUGGAUCAACUCCUCAGACAUUCACCAGAACUGUGACCAAUGUUGGUGAUGCCAAAUCAUCUUACACGGUGCAGAUAGCUUCACCUAAAGGCGUUGUCGUGAAAGUUAAGCCCCGCAAGCUAAUUUUCUCGGAGUUGAAGCAGAAGUUAACAUACCAAGUGACAUUUUCCAAGAGAACCAACAGCUCAAAGUCUGGGGUCUUUGAGGGAUUCUUGAAGUGGAAUUCUAACAAGUACUCUGUGAGAAGUCCAAUUGCAGUUGAGUUUGCAUUGGCUACAAAGUAUUCAGACAUUUGAAAAUGCUGUUUGUUUACACAAUUAACUUUAUGUUACUUUUUUCAUAUAUAUUAUUAAAUGUAUUGUUUCAAUAAACUUUACGUUCACAGCUGAUUGAAGAAUGCAAAAGCAUAUCCUCUUUGAUAUUAGUGACCAUGCCCUGCUCAACCUUUUCUUGAUUUCAUUUUUUUCAACAAAUAAAGUGACUUCUCGAGAUAAUAAAUAUUAGUUGAGUGACCGUAAAAGAAUCUCAGUUCAUAAUUAAGCACCCUUUGAUCCAGAAUCUUGACAGUGACUUCAAAAAUAAAGUCUUAGUCUUUGGUGACUUCAAACUUAUUAAUAAGACAAGAAAAAUAAUAGAGACAUAUCCUAUGAAUUUCCUGGAAAAACUGUUACGUUGUAAUGUUACGUAAACCCUUACAACUAGUUAAUAAAGUAAGGUUCGUUCAAAUCCUUAUAUAAAAAAAAAAGAUUCUCAUUCUCAAUUAGCCCCUUUCUGCACCCCCAAUGAAAUGGAAUGAAUCAAGAAUUAAGGACAAAUAUGACUAAUAUAAUAAGAAAUGAAUUUGCCCUACCUAAAUCCUUACGAUUAGUUAAUAGAGUAAGGAUUGUUCAAAUCCAUAUGAAGAAGAAUUCAUUCUUAAUACUCGGCCUCAAAAUAACUCACGAGGAGGAGGGGCUUCUUAUGUAAAUGUUCACCCGACAAAAAAAACUUUCUUACUAAAAUGGUCGUAGUAUAUGUAAUAUAUCGAUAUUUGUAUGAAUAAUGUAUAAUUAUGUAUAUAUAGUAUUUAUACAUUGUAUCAAUUCAUCUUCCUCAAUAAUGUGUUUUCUUGAAUCUUAAAUUUUUAACCAACUCAAAUCUUCUCUAAUCAUUCCAAGUAGUUUUGUUGUUCGCUAGCUCUUAUUGAAUUGUAUAUCUUUUGUAUAUAUAUAUAUAUAUAUAGAAAAGAUUUGAUUAUGAUAUAGGGACUCAACACUUUAAGAGUUGAUGUUCAUUUCAUUCUCUAAAAAUAUGAAAUAGAGAUACUUUCUUUAAGCAAAAGGAUAAAUUAUAAAAUCAAAUUAAAGAGGAUUGAUCGAAGAAUAACAUUAACUUGUUGAUGCUUAGCUUAUUCAUAUGAUGACCAAAAAAAAAAAAAAACUUCGAAUUUCCUGCAAAAGACGUUGUAAUUAAUUCACAUGGAUAUUUUUUAUUAACAUAUUGUGGCCAAAUGGACUUACUAACACAAAUAUAAUAUAAUAGUACUAAAUUAAUAUUCGGUAUAUUAAUAGUUUAUCUAAGACAAUAGGUUUUUUCAUGUCUUGAUUUGUGUCAAUGAAAAAAAUCACUCAUUUCAAUAUGAUAAUAUGACAAUAUAUUUUCAGAAGACCCUAUAUAAAUAUACUAUCCCACUAAUAUUAUUUUUAAAAAUAUGAAUAUAUCUAAGAUAAUUUAAGUGAAAUGUGAUUUUAUUAUCUUUCUUAAAAAUUUAAAUCUAGUUAAAUUCAUGUCUAAUUUUUUUAUUGCAUCCAAAAAUUCUAGUGUUGUCACGACUACAAAUUAUCUUCCUGAGUGCGCCUCCUAUGUUGACACAUUUUAAAUGAGAAACCAUUUAUGCAUAUGGUUACAAAAAUUUCCUAUGUUGCUUAUAUAAUUUAUUCUCUCAUCAUCGUACAUUGAAUAUUUCUUGUGAAGAUACAUUGAAUAAUAUUUUGUUAUUAAGAAACAAUGACCAUUAUAUAUAGUGAAUUUGUUUUUACGAUGAAUCACUGAAUUUUUGAAUUUAUUUUAUAAUGAAUCAUUAAAAAAUAUAUAUAUAUUACCGUGAUUCAUACAUAUACAUUGUACUUUGUGUAUAAUGAUUUUUUUUUAAAUAUAAGUUCAAUAAAUAUAAUGUAUAAUUUAGUAAGAUAUAAUGAUUUUGAUAUAUUCACUGUACUUAUUAUAUAUAAUAAAUUUAUUUCUUAUGUGAAUUCAAUAAAUAUGAUACAUAAAUUAAUAAGAUAUAAUUAUUUUAAUGUAAUCAAAAUUGACCUUCAUUGAAUCUCAAAAACACUCUUUAAUUAAUAAAUAUUAAUUUAUGAAUUAAAUAAUACCUUUGUAGAAUAACAAUAUUUUAUGAUCUCACAUGUAUUAAUUUAAUGAGAUUUUAAGGUAUGCGAGCAAAAUCUACUAAAUUCGAUCAAAUCUGCGUGCAGGUUACUAGCUCUACCCUUCACGUUAUACCAACUAUAUAUGUCAAAUGUCCACGCAAGUCCAAUUGAAGGAGAGCAAUGUACAUCAUCCAUCAUUCACGUUUUGUCUUGCAAAUAAAUUAAAUUAACCAAUUUUUAUUUUAGUAUUUAAAAUUAACCAAUUUUAGUUUUAUAAUUAAUAUUUUUAAUCUCGACCAACUGAAAUCUCCUAUGAGCACCUCGAAUUUUAAAUUUGAGCUCCUCUCAAUAUUUCAAGACUAUUAAUAUAUUAUUCGUUCAAAAUAAUUGAUGACUAUUGAAAUUAAUUCUCGGAAAAGGAUCUUGAAUAGUUACAUGUUCAUGCAUUGCAACUUUAUUUAGACAUAAUAUUCGCAACUUUUUAUUACAAAGUGAUUUAACAGUUAAAAUUUGUAUGGUAAAAAGAUGUUCAUAUAAUUAAGCAAAUUUACAGUGGAAAGUCUUUUGGAAAAUCUACAAAUUCAUAGAAUAAAGUUCAAUGUAACUUUAGUUUCAUUCACUCUUAGUGGCCUUUCUUUUCUUUUUCUUUAAGUAUUAAUUUUAAUUUUCUUGUCCACAUUAUUCUUUUUUUCCACUUGGAAUAAAAUAAAGUCAUGAGCAAAGAUGAAGUAUAAAUAGACAGUUGCAUCAAAGCAGAAAAAUUCAUCAAAUACAUUAUCGCUUCAGCCAUGGGAUUCUUCAAAGUCCUUCUUGUUCUCAUCUUUUGUUCUUUCCCAUGGCCGACUAUUCAGAGUGGUCUCGAGAUUUAUAUAGUCCAUGUUGAAUCCCUUGAAAGCCUGAUUUCUACUAAAUCAUCGUUAACGGAUCUAGACAGCUAUUACCAUUCUUUUUUGCCUAAAACUACUACCGCAAUUAGCUCGAGUGGAAAUGAAGAGGCUGCUACCAUGAUCUAUUCCUAUCACAAUGUGAUGAAAGGAUUUGCAGCAAGAUUAACAGAAUCUCAUGUGAAGGAAAUGGAGAAGAAACGAGGCUUUGUUUCCGCUCAGAAACAGAGGAUUUUGUCCUUGGAUACUACUCAUACUCCAAGUUUUCUUGGUUUGCAGCAGAACAUGGGUGUAUGGAAGGAUUCCAACUAUGGAGAAGGCGUGAUCAUCGGAGUUAUAGACACUGGAAUUCUUCCUGACCAUCCUUCGUUUAGUGAUGUUGGAAUGCCUCCUCCGCCUGCUAAAUGGAAAGGAGUUUGUGAGUCCAACUUCAUCAACAAGUGUAACAACAAGCUCAUUGGAGCGAGGUCUUACCAUCUUGGCAAUGGUUCCCCGAUAGAUGGUAAUGGGCAUGGUACACACACAGCAAGCACAGCUGCGGGAGCUUUUGUGAAAGGUGCUAAUGUAUAUGGCAAUGCUAAUGGAACUGCAGUUGGUGUUGCCCCUCUUGCCCACAUAGCUGUGUAUAAGGUAUGUAGUUCUGAUGGCGGUUGUUCUGACAGUGAUAUUUUAGCUGCCAUGGAUUCAGCUAUAGAUGAUGGAGUAGAUAUUCUUUCUAUAUCCAUUGGUGGAUCUCCCAACUCUUUCUAUGAUGACCCUAUUGCUCUUGGGGCAUACAGUGCAACGGCAAGAGGUGUUUUUGUAAGUUGUUCUGCAGGUAAUAGAGGCCCUUUGCUUGCCUCAGUUGGAAAUGCAGCCCCUUGGAUUCUUACAGUAGGUGCCAGCACGCUUGAUAGAAAGAUAAAAGCUACUGUUAAGCUUGGAAAUGGAGAGGAAUUCGAAGGAGAAUCUGCUUAUCGUCCACAGAUUUCCAACUCAACAUUCUUCACUCUAUUUGAUGCUGCAAAACAUGCAAAAGAUCCAUCGGAAACCCCUUAUUGCAAACCAGGGUCACUCAAGGGCCCUGUUAUAAGAGGAAAGAUAGUAUUAUGUCUAGCAGGCGGUGGCGUCUCCAGUGUUGCUAAAGGAAAAGUUGUGAAGGAUGCUGGAGGUGUUGGCAUGAUUGUCAUCAAAACAUCACAAUAUGGUGUCACUAAAACAGCUGAUGCUCAUGUUCUUCCAGCAUUGGAUAUUUCAGAUGCAGAUGGAUUAAGAAUUCGUGCCUAUACAAACUCAAUAUUAAACCCUGUUGCUACAAUCACAUUCCAAGGAACAACAAUUGGAGAUGAAAAUGCUCCAAUAGUUGCUGCAUUUUCUUCUCGGGGACCAAGUAGAGCUAGUCCUGGAAUCUUGAAACCUGACAUAAUCGGUCCUGGUGUUAACAUCCUUGCUGCUUGGCCUACACCCGUGGAUGACGACAAAAACACCAAAUCCACAUUCAAUAUUAUAUCAGGCACCUCAAUGUCUUGCCCUCACCUUAGUGGUGUAGCAGCUCUGCUGAAGAGCGCACAUCCUGAUUGGUCUCCUGCUGUUAUUAAGUCUGCAAUCAUGACAACGGCUGACACGUUAAACCUUGCCAAUAGUCCAAUACUAGACGAAAGGCUC
rnacentral:lncRNA from 1 species